GAUGAACGCUGGCGGCGUGCCUAAUACAUGCAAGUCGAACGCUGAAGGAAGGAGCUUGCUCUUUCCGGAUGAGUUGCGAACGGGUGAGUAACGCGUAGGUAACCUGCCUGGUAGCGGGGGAUAACUAUUGGAAACGAUAGCUAAUACCGCAUAACAGUAGAUGUUGCAUGAUAUCUACUUAAAAGGUGCAAUUGCACCACUACCAGAUGGACCUGCGUUGUAUUAGCUAGUUGGUGAGGUAACGGCUCACCAAGGCGACGAUACAUAGCCGACCUGAGAGGGUGAUCGGCCACACUGGGACUGAGACACGGCCCAGACUCCUACGGGAGGCAGCAGUAGGGGAUCUUCGGAAAUGGACGGAAGUCUGACCGAGCAACGCCGCGUGAGUGAAGAAGGUUUUCGAAUCGUAAAGCUCUGUUGUAAGAGAAGAACGAGUGUGAGAGUGGAAAGUUCACACUGUGACGGUAGCUUACCAGAAAGGGACGGCUAACUACGUG
rnacentral:rRNA from 1 species